CGGAUUGAAGGCUGAAAUUCGCCUUCAUGAAGCUGGAAUUGCUAGUAAUGGCAGGUCAGCAUACUGCCGUGAAUACGUUCCCGGGCCUUGUACACACCGCCCGUCACACCAUGAGAGUUGGGAAUACCCGAAGCCUGUGAGCUAACCGCAAGGAGGCAGCAGUCGAAGGUGGGGUUGAUGAUUGGGGUGAAGUCGUAACAAGGUAGC
rnacentral:rRNA from 1 species